UACGGAGGAGGCAAGCGUUAUCCGGAAUUAUUGGGCGUAAAGCGUCCGUAGGUGGCUCUCUCAAGUCUGCGGUCAAAGACCGGGGCUCAACCCUGGAAAGGCCGUGGAAACUGGUGAGCUAGAGUGCGGUAGGGGCAGAGGGAAUUCCCAGUGUAGCGGUGAAAUGCGUAGAGCUCGGGAAGAACAUCGGUGGCGAAAGCGCUCUACUGGACUGCAACUGACACUGAGGGACGAAAGCUAGGGGAGCGAAUGGG
rnacentral:rRNA from 1 species